CACUUCGACGAAGCUGAACAAUAAUAAAUUGCAAAGCCUUCCCUGCUGCGUGGGUUUGAGAUCACGUGACAGGAGCUCGUAUGAUUGUCAGUCCUAGGCCAACUCAGCGAUCUGGGAAAAAGGAUUUUAUCUUCUACUAGGUCGAAAGUCUAAGCCAAUUGGAGGAGUUAUAAUGAAGUCCACAUCAAAAGAUGUUUGAUUGAAGGAAAGAAUUGAACAUGGAGAUUCCCAGUCCUAUCUUAUUUCAUCUUAUGUGAAUGAAUGAAAUCAAAUUAUUAUAUUUAAACAAAACAGCACACACCAGUAACUGCAUACAUUUAUGCACUCACAGAAUGUAAGCUUGACAUUUAGAUCUACAUUCUAAGUUGUGUAAAAAGGACUACAUCUGUUUACUUUUUUUAUUUACAAUUCCUCUUAUCAGCUUGCAUAUUUUUCAGGGGGGGGGGGGACCUAGACACGGAUCUUCGAAACGGCUCUUACGAUUUUCCCAGAAAUGUGACAGCUUUUGUACCGGUAAAUCGAUGGACAAAAAAAAAAUACUUGCUAAUUGGCCAAACCAGAAAAUUGGUUUGACAGUUAAAUUUUUUUCAAAACAUAAUCUAAAUUUGGCUUACGUCUUAUAAUUUUGAACACACGUCAGUGGGAAUUCCCGCACGUAUUCAGUAAAGAGUUUGAAUAAAUGAGAUGUUCAGAAACAAUU